CAGUAGCCGCGGGAAUACGUAGGGUGCAAGCGUUAAUCGGAAUUACUGGGCGUAAAGCGUGCGCAGGCGGUUCGCUAAGACAGAUGUGAAAUCCCCGGGCUCAACCUGGGAAUGGCAAUGGAUACUGGCAAGCUAGAGUGUGUCAGAGGAUGGUGGAAUUCCCGGUGUAGCGGUGAAAUGCGUAGAGAUCGGGAGGAACAUCAGUGGCGAAGGCGGCCAUCUGGGACAACACUGACGCUGAGGCACGAAAGCGUGGGGAGCAAACAGGAUUAGAUACCCCCGUAGUCCCUGUCUCUUAUAC
rnacentral:rRNA from 1 species